rnacentral:rRNA from 1 species
UCCCUGCCCUUUGUACACACCGCCCGUCGCUGCCCGGGACUGAGCCAUUUCGAGAAAUUUGGGGACUGUUGAUUUAACUUUUUUUUAAAAAGUUUUUUUGAUGGAAACCAAUUUAAUCGCAGUGGCUUGAACCGGGCAAAAGUCGUAACAAGGUAGCUGUAGGUGAACCUGCUGCUGGAUCAUUACUUUUUAUGUGAUGUUCAAAUUUGAAUUUUUUCUCGCAAUCCCUUUGUGGAUUGUGUAACGGCUGCCGCUGGUGUCUAGGUGUUGCUGAUUCAGUCGUGAGCGUCCGUGACUGAAUAUGAGGUGACAUGUUAGGAUUAUCGUUAUAAUCGUAAGACUUAAUGAGCCUCUUAAGUGAGGACGCCAGCACCCAUUUUUUCUAAUAAAUUUUUUUUAAACAAAUGAAAAAUUUAGCCUUACCGGUGGAUCACUCGGUUCGUGGAUCGAUGAAGAACGCAGCUAACUGCGAUAAUUUAUGUGAACUGCAGAAAUCUUGAGCAUAAAAGUUUUGAACGCAUAUUGCGGCAUUGGGGUCAAACCCUUUGGCACGUCUGGUUCAGGGUCAUUUUCUUAUAAAGCGAAAGCUUUUAUUGUAUAUUGUCAGUGACUUUUAUACCUUAAUAUUGUUUUGGUGAUAAUUUUUGAAUUAAUAUUUAUUACCAAAUACAUUCAUAUUUUUGACCUGAACUCAGUCGAGAGCACCCGCUGAACUUAAGCAUAUCA